rnacentral:ncRNA from 26 species
UAAUAAGGGAUGCAAAGAAACCAAUACGUAGAUGGGCGCUUAUGAUUGGUGGAGCAAGUAGCGCAACCGACCACAUUGAUU